rnacentral:rRNA from 1 species
CCUACGGGUGGCAGCAGUGAGGAAUAUUGGUCAAUGGGCGAGAGCCUGAACCAGCCAAGUCGCGUGAGGGAGUACUGCCCUAUGGGUUGUAAACCUCUUUUGUCGGGGAGCAAAAGCCGGACGUGUCCGGCUGUGAGAGUACCCGAAGAAAAAGCAUCGCCUAACUCCGUGCCAGCAGCCGCGGUAAUACGGAGGAUGCGAGCGUUAUCCGGAUUUAUUGGGUUUAAAGGGUGCGCAGGCGGAUUUUUAAGUCAGCGGUAAAAUCGUGGGGCUCAACCCCAUCCAGCCGUUGAAACUGGGGAUCUAGAGUGUGCGAGAGGUAUGCGGAAUGCGUGGUGUAGCGGUGAAAUGCAUAGAUAUCACGCAGAACCCCGAUUGCGAAGGCAGCAUACCGGUGCACAACUGACGCUCAGGCACGAAAGCGUGGGUAUCGAACAGGAUUAGAUACCCUUGUAGUC